AAGGACUCACUUCUAGGUGAAAAGGG
rnacentral:piRNA from 1 species